CCUACGGGAGGCAGCAGUGGGGAAUAUUGCACAAUGGGGGAAACCCUGAUGCAGCAACGCCGCGUGAGUGAAGAAGUAUUUCGGUAUGUAAAGCUCUAUCAGCAGGGAAGAGAAUGACGGUACCUGACUAAGAAGCCCCGGCUAACUACGUGCCAGCAGCCGCGGUAAU
rnacentral:rRNA from 1 species